CGGGGAAUAACGACGGGAAACUGUCGCUAAUACCGCAUACGCCCUUCGGGGGAAAGAUUUAUCGCUGAUGGAUGUGCCCGCGUCCGAUUAGGUAGUUGGUGGGGUAAAGGCCUACCAAGCCGACGAUCGGUAGCUGGUCUGAGAGGAUGAUCAGCCACACUGGGACUGAGACACGGCCCAGACUCCUACGGGAGGCAGCAGUGGGGAAUAUUGGACAAUGGGCGCAAGCCUGAUCCAGCAAUGCCGCGUGAAUGAUGAAGGCCUUAGGGUUGUAAAGUUCUUUCGGGUGGGACGAUGAUGACGGUACCACCAGAAGAAGCCCCGGCUAACUUCGUGCCAGCAGCCGCGGUAAUACGAAGGGGGCUAGCGUUGUUCGGAAUUACUGGGCGUAAAGCGCACGCAGGCGGCUCGUUAAAUUAGAAGUGAAAGCCCUGGGCUCAACCCGGGAAUUGCUUUUAAGACUGGCGAGCUAGAAUCCAGAAGAGGGCAGUGGAAUUCCAAGUGUAGAGGUGAAAUUCGUAGAUAUUUGGAAGAACACCAGUGGCGAAGGCGACUGCCUGGUCUGGCAUUGACGCUCA
rnacentral:rRNA from 1 species